rnacentral:rRNA from 1 species
GGGUUGUGAGGUUAAGCGACUAAGCGUACACGGUGGAUGCCCUGGCAGUCAGAGGCGAUGAAGGACGUGCUAAUCUGCGAUAAGCGUCGGUAAGGUGAUAUGAACCGUUAUAACCGGCGAUUUCCGAAUGGGGAAACCCAGUGCAAUUCGUUGCACUAUCGUUAAGUGAAUACAUAGCUUAACGAAGCGAACCGGGGGAACUGAAACAUCUAAGUACCCCGAGGAAAAGAAAUCAACCGAGAUUCCCCCAGUAGCGGCGAGCGAACGGGGAGCAGCCCAGAGUCUGAAUCAGCAUGUGUGUUAGUGGAAGCGUCUGGAAAGUCGCACGAUACAGGGUGAAAGUCCCGUACACCAAAAUGCACAUGUUGUGAACUCGAAGAGUAGGGCGGGACACGUGGUAUCCUGUCUGAAUAUGGGGGGACCAUCCUCCAAGGCUAAAUACUCCUGACUGACCGAUAGUGAACCAGUACCGUGAGGGAAAGGCGAAAAGAACCCCGGCGAGGGGAGUGAAAAAGAACCUGAAACCGUGUACGUACAAGCAGUGGGAGCCUCUUUAUGGGGUGACUGCGUACCUUUUGUAUAAUGGGUCAGCGACUUAUAUUCUGUAGCAAGGUUAACCGAAUAGGGGAGCCGAAGGGAAACCGAGUC